GAGCCCACGGCUCAACCGUGGAGGGUCAUUGGAAACUGGGGGACUUGAGUGCAGGAGAGGGGAGCGGAAUUCCACGUGUAGCGGUGAAAUGCGUAGAGAUGUGGAGGAACACCAGUGGCGAAGGCGGCUCUCUGGCCUGUAACUGACGCUGAGGCGCGAAAGCGUGGGGAGCGAACAGGAUUAGAUACCCUGGUAGUCCACGCCGUAAACGAUGAGUGCUAAGUGUUAGAGGGUUUCCACCCUUUAGUGCUGUAGCUAACGCAUUAAGCACUCCGCCUGGGGAGUACGGUCGCAAGACUGAAACUCAAAGGAAUUGACGGGGGCCCGCACAAGCGGUGGAGCAUGUGGUUUAAUUCGAAGCAACGCGAAGAACCUUACCAGGUCUUGACAUCCUUCGCUACCUCUAGAGAUAGAGGGUUCCCCUUCGGGGGACGGAGUGACAGGUGGUGCAUGGUUGUCGUCAGCUCGUGUCGUGAGAUGUUGGGUUAAGUCCCGCAACGAGCGCAACCCUUGACCUUAGUUGCCAGCAUUCAGUUGGGCACUCUAGGGUGACUGCCGGUGACAAACCGGAGGAAGGUGGGGAUGACGUCAAAUCAUCAUGCCCCUUAUGACCUGGGCUACACACGUGCUACAAUGGGUGGUACAAAGGGCUGCGAAGCCGCGAGGCUGAGCCAAUCCCAAAAAACCACUCUCAGUUCGGAUUGCAGGCUGCAA
rnacentral:rRNA from 1 species